AACGGCCGUACCAUGCUGAAUAUACCGGUUCUCGUUAGAUCACCGAAGUCAAGCAUCAUUGGGCGCGGUCAGUACUUGGGUGGGUGGCCACAUGGGAACACCGCGUGC
rnacentral:rRNA from 1 species